CCUAACUACUAACUUAACCCAACGAUGUUUAUAAUAAGACAUGACCUAACACCAAAAAUUAAACCAUUUUAUUACCUGAGUACGGGAGACGGAAAAGGUCCAACCUAGAGCAAUAGAAAGAGUACCGCAAGGGAAAGCUGAAAGAGAAGUGAAACAACCCAUAUAAGCACUAAAAAACAAAGACAAAACCUU
rnacentral:rRNA from 1 species